GUCACAGAUGGCGGACGGCGCGCACCACCUCGCCAACGUACACAACGCGCGUGCAGCCGUCUCUAGGCGAUGCAGACUGAUGGCCUUUUCGUUGCGGUCUCGGAGGGCAGCGACGUCAUCGGCAACCUUUGUGAGCGCCAAAAGACCGUGUGCCCACACGCCCUUUGUGGGCGCCGCCAUGUGGACGUCCACAGCACGCACGAGCCUCGCGGCCUCGGCAGUGUCGCCACUGUGGUUCCGACCCAUCAGGUCCCAUAUCGCAGACGCCACCUCAUCGGCGGUGCAAAACGAGGCAAAGAGCGCAGGCCAACGACCGACCACUUCCGACAGCCGGUCGACGUACAUGCAGGGAUCGUGUGGUGGAUGUAGCAUGCGCUCGACCUCAUCGGCUUCUGGCGCAAACCCCUCGUCGGCGACUAGCCAGUCGAGUAUGCGGGCGGCGCCACGGCCAUUGUCGUAACCCGCGAGGGCGAUCCGUGCCAGAUCGACCAUGGAGUCCGGACAAAACCGAUGGCCGCACUGCGCACGUCGUUGUUGAUCGUCAACCAGAAAGCGACACACAUCGACCAGACCGUACGCGGCGGCCGUCCUGAGCGCGUUCCUGUGGUGUUGUGUGCCGGCGCAAGCGAAAAACACCCGGGUCGCGCUCGCGAGCGCGGCAUGCCUGAUCCAGGCCGACCCUCCGGCCAGACCCGCCACCCGGAUCGAAUUGAUCAUUUGGCGUUGGUGCUCUUGGCGUGUGUCGGCGGCGCUCUGUGCAGCCGCGGACGUCCGGUCCGCAGUCCUUUGGCGGGUGGCGUUGUGAUGUUUGGCAGAGGUCGCCACCUGACGUACGGCGGUCCCUCGACGCACGCGGUCGUCCCCGCGGAUGUGCUCGGCGGUCACUGUCGGCUGGAUGAUAGCCUCUUGGCCGCGACUGGCGCGGAUGGAAGGCGCGUUCUGCGCCAUAUCGAUGAGCAAUUCGAGCACACCGACGGCGCACGUCGCCGCGGCGCGCUUCCACAAGGCCUCGUGCGAUAUGGGGAUGAGACGGGGCGCGGACACGCAGCACUCUAGCAGCGCCGACACGGUCUCGGUGCGAUCGCACUCGACGGCGCAGUGCAGGCAUUCGUCGAGCACCUUGGCAUGUUCGGCAUUUUUCUGCGCCAUUAUGAUCCGCAGUUCCCAAAGCAACGGUUGCGUGUGGCCGCAUGCAGAUAGUGCAUAUGCAUAGGCCGUGCGCGUCCGCGUCCGCGCAUUGAGGCAGGCCGGGCACGAAGGAAAUGCGGCUCCCAUGCGCGUAUGACGUCCGCACUUUGAGGCUGCGAUCAGCGCCUCGCACGCAGAGCCGACCCCGGCCGACGGAUCGAGACAGGCCAGCGGCUGUAUGAGCGAUUCCAGUCUGACGCCGUACGCCUCAGCAAAAUCUGCGAGCGCGUCGGGUGCGUGUACAAUGUCGCGCAGGCCGCGCAAAUGCUCAACGACGACACUCGUGCACAAGAUACGUCCUCGGACCCAAUUGUCGGCAGACCACAUCGCGGACCGCGGGCGCGCUGCAAUCAAUCGCAUGGCGUCAUCGGCCGAUGGAUGGCCGACGACACGGUUCCAGUCGUGACAGACCAUGCGACAGGCGCACCUAUAGCGGGGGUCGAGGAGAGGCCUGCCGCGCGCGUCAGCGCCGUUGAGCACGUACGCGACCAACUCGAUCGGCAGCGUUGCGGUGCAAUCGCGGACCGAAUGCAUCUUCUGCCCGUCGUUGUCGGCCAUGGGUUAUUUUGCGCUUUCCCCGUGUCGUCCGUUGCUCGGACCGUGCCGGCUCCUCUUGGCAGUUGUGCCAAUCAAAAAAAGCAAACAAGAAAAAAAACCGCAAUGACAACCUUUUCCUCUCAAGCGCAAUGACAGAGGUUGUGCCUGACAGCGGCCGAUGGUCUGCUUUGUGCUGCCGUGCAAUACUCUCUCUCUCUCUCUGUGAUUUGUGUGUUUCUUUCAAAGGUUUGGUGGU
rnacentral:lncRNA from 1 species